CCUACGGGAGGCAGCAGUGGGGAAUUUUGGACAAUGGGCGAAAGCCUGAUCCAGCAAUGCCGCGUGAGUGAAGAAGGCCUUCGGGUUGUAAAGCUCUUUUGUCAGGGAAGAAACGGUGAGGGCUAAUAUCUCUUGCUAAUGACGGUACCUGAAGAAUAAGCACCGGCUAACUACGUGCCAGCAGCCGCGGUAAUACGUAGGGUGCAAGCGUUAAUCGGAAUUACUGGGCGUAAAGCGUGCGCAGGCGGUUUUGUAAGUCUGUCGUGAAAUCCCCGGGCUCAACCUGGGAAUUGCGAUGGAGACUGCAAGGCUAGAAUCUGGCAGAGGGGGGUAGAAUUCCACGUGUAGCAGUGAAAUGCGUAGAGAUGUGGAGGAACACCGAUGGCGAAGGCAGCCCCCUGGGUCAAGAUUGACGCUCAUGCACGAAAGCGUGGGGAGCAAACAGGAUUAGAUACCCUGGUAGUCCACGCCCUAAACGAUGUCUACUAGUUGUCGGGUUUUAAUUAACUUGGUAACGCAGCUAACGCGUGAAGUAGACCGCCUGGGGAUACGGUCGCAAGAUUAAAACUCAAAGGAUUGACGG
rnacentral:rRNA from 1 species